AUUGAACGCUGGCGGAAUGCUUUACACAUGCAAGUCGAGCGGCAGCACGGGGGCAACCCUGGUGGCGAGCGGCGAACGGGUGAGUAAUACAUCGGAACAUGCCCAGUCGUGGGGGAUAACACUUCGAAAGAAGUGCUAAUACCGCAUACGUCCUGAGGGAGAAAGCGGGGGAUCUUCGGACCUCGCGCGAUUGGAGUGGCCGAUGUCAGAUUAGCUAGUUGGUGGGGUAAAGGCCUACCAAGGCAACGAUCUGUAGCUGGUCUGAGAGGAUGAUCAGCCACACUGGGACUGAGACACGGCCCAGACUCCUACGGGAGGCAGCAGUGGGGAAUUUUGGACAAUGGGCGCAAGCCUGAUCCAGCAAUGCCGCGUGCAGGAAGAAGGCCUUCGGGUUGUAAACUGCUUUUGUCAGGGAAGAAAUCUUCUGGGUUAAUACCUCGGGAGGAUGACGGUACCUGAAGAAUAAGCACCGGCUAACUACGUGCCAGCAGCCGCGGUAACAC
rnacentral:rRNA from 1 species